AUGCACCGUCCUACAACUUCACUUUCGGUCUACUACUCCAACAUACUCCCUCACAUCACUGUUAUGCUCUUUCUGCUCAUCACCGGUCCAGCAGUUCUGAUGUCGUACGCUUCCGUUAGCCACCAACAACUCAGUCACUUCUGCAACACAAUUAAGCAACUCUAUUUCAAUUUCACUAUCACUUUAUUGUUUUAUUUAAUUUAUGGAUUGUGUUAUUAA